rnacentral:lncRNA from 1 species
AUGGCUGCCGCUCACCUGGCAAUAGGGGAAGGGUGCCAUCCGCUAUUGCUUGCAAUCGCAAAUCUAGUUAUGUCACCCGAUCGACAAUGUCGGGUGACAUAUUGCUUUUCCUCUGUUUCUUUUUCUGUAUUAUUAUGGCACCCUCAACGGAGUUGGGGUGACAUAUUGUUAUUGUUCGUUUCUUUUUUUUAUGGCACCCUCAACGGAGUUGGGGUGACAUAUUGUUAUUGUUCGUUUCUUUUUUGCAGUGGGGUAUGGCACCAUCAAGAUGGCUGCCGUUGCCAUGGAAACGAAACAAAUGUGAAAAAAUCCUGUUUUUUGUUUUGGUGAACUGUUUUGAUAUGCUUAAACUCAGAACCAUUAUAUUUUGAUACAAUGUUGGUGCCGGCCAUAUACAGGUGUUGGAUGAUUUUGGCACUCAUUGGAACUACUAUGUUGCCAUGGAAACUAUACCAAAAAUUUCAAAAAUCUCAAAAUGUUCCAAACUUCAUGAAGCUUCACAGUAACGAUGAGCAACAUUGGAAGAUGUGGAAUUUGGCGUUAGAAUUUCCAAAAUAUCUGUUGUUACCAUGGAAACAAUGCAAAAAGGUCAAAAAUUUCAAAAAAAAUAAAAAUGCUGUAAACUGGAUGAAACUUUACAGGAAUGGUCACUGGCAUAAGCAAAGUUGACAUUUGAAGUUGGAAUUUUCAAAAUGGCCGCCGUAACCAUGGAAACAGCAAAAAUGUCAAAAACUUCAAAAUGCUCCAAACUUAAUGAAACUUAACAAAUAUGAUAAUUUGAAUGUGUAGAUGCACACUUUGACUUUGGAAUUUUCUAGAUUGCUGCCACUCGCCUGGCAAUGUGGGAAGGGUGCCAUCCGCUAUUGCUUGCAAUGGCAAAUCUAGUUCUUAUUAUUUUUAUUAUUUUUAUUCUUCCACACUUUUUGUCCAAGACAGUUCUCGGAAAUGGAUGGACCAAUCUUGAUGAAACUAUGUUAUAAUGUUGUCCACCAUGUGAAGUUGUGCACCUGACUUUGGAGUGUGCAAGAUGGCCGCGGUUACCAUGGAAACUAAAAAAAUGUAAAAGAAAAUCAAAAUUCUAAAUCUUUCGUUAUAAGAGCCAACCUAAUGAAACUUUAUGUAAAUGUUGGCAAUGGUGCCCUGAGGUACCAACAGUACUUAGCUUCUGCAAAAUCUCUACCAUUGCCAUGGAAACUGGAGAAAAGGUUAACAUCGAACCUAUGGGGAAAAACAUCAAACCAGCCCUUUCUGAAGGAAUAUAAGAUGAAAUUCAAAGAAACUUUAUGAAUAUAUAACAUGGCAUAAGUCGAUGUUGAAACUGUUGUUGGAAUUUUCGAAAUGGACACCGUUACCAUGGAAACAGCAAAAAUGUCAAAAAAUAUCAAAAUGCACCAAACUUAAUGAAACUCAUUAUAAAUGACUAAUGGCAAGUUAAGAUAAGAAAUUGGACUUUGGAAUUUCCAAAAUGGCCGCUGUUGCCAUGGAAACUACAAAAAUUUCAAAAUUUUCAAAAUGCUACAAAAUUGAGUAAACUUUACAACAAU